rnacentral:rRNA from 1 species
GUAGGGAAUCUUGCGCAAUGGGCGAAAGCCUGACGCAGCGACGCCGCGUGGGGGAUGAAGGCUCUUGGGUCGUAAACCCCUUUCGGCAGGGAAGAAGCGAAAGUGACGGUACCUGCAGAAGAAGCCCCGGCCAACUACGUGCCAGCAGCCGCGGUAACACGUAGGGGGCGAGCGUUGUCCGGAUUCAUUGGGCGUAAAGGGCGCGCAGGCGGCUCGGAAAGUCGGAUGUGAAAACUCGGGGCUCAACCCCGAGCGUGCACCCGAUACUGCCGGGCUUGAGGCAGGUAGGGGAGAUCGGAAUUCCUGGUGUAGCGGUGAAAUGCGCAGAUAUCAGGAGGAACACCGGUGGCGAAGGCGGAUCUCUGGGCCUGUCCUGACGCUGAGGCGCGAAAGCUAGGGGAGCGAACAGGAUUAGAUACCCUGGUAGUCC